UACAGAGGCCUCAAGCGUUGUUCGGAAUUACUGGGCGUAAAGGGCAUGUAGGUGGUUGCGUAAGUUAGAUGUGAAAGCCCUGGGCUUAACCUGGGAACUGCAUUUAAUACUGCGUGACUUGAGUGCGAUAGAGGAGAGCGGAAUUCCUAGUGUAGGAGUGAAAUCCGUAGAUAUUAGGAGGAAUACCGAUGGCGAAGGCAGCUCUCUGGCUCGCAACUGACACUGAGAUUCGAAAGCGUGGGUAGCAAACAGG
rnacentral:rRNA from 1 species